rnacentral:rRNA from 1 species
UACGUAGGUGGCAAGCGUUACUCGGAAUCACUAGGCGUAAAGCGCAGGUAGGAGGUUUGGAAAGUCUCUUGUGAAAGCUCCCGGCUCAACUGGGAGAGGUCAAGGGAAACUACCAGGCUAGAGUGCGGUAGAGGUAGCUGGAAUUCCCGGUGUAGCGGUGAAAUGCGUAGAUAUCGGGAGGAAUACCUAUGGCGAAAGCAGGCUACUGGACCGUCACUGACUCUGAUCUGCGAAAGCUAGGGGAGCAAACAGG